rnacentral:rRNA from 1 species
GACAGAGGUGCCGAGCGUUAGGCGGAAUCACUGGGCUUAAAGCGUGUGUAGGCGGGCCGUUUAAGUAUCUUGUGAAAUCCCCCGGCUCAACCGGGGAAUGGCUGGAUAUACUGGCGGUCUUGAGCAGUCUAGGGGCAGAUGGAACAAGUGGUGGAGCGGUGAAAUGCGUAGAUAUCGGAAGGAACACCAGUGGCGAAAAGCGGCUUCCUGGUCCAGCACCGACGUCAGGCACGAAAGCGUGGGGAGCGAAACAGG